rnacentral:rRNA from 1 species
AUUGAACGCUGGCGGCAUGCCUUACACAUGCAAGUCGAACGGUAACAGGUCUUCGGAUGCUGGCGAGUGGCGAACGGGUGAGUAAUACAUCGGAACGUGCCUAGUAGUGGGGGAUAACUACUCGAAAGAGUGGCUAAUACCGCAUGAGAUCUACGGAUGAAAGCAGGGGAUCGCAAGACCUUGUGCUACUAGAGCGGCCGAUGGCAGAUUAGGUAGUUGGUGGGAUAAAAGCUUACCAAGCCGACGAUCUGUAGCUGGUCUGAGAGGACGAUCAGCCACACUGGGACUGAGACACGGCCCAGACUCCUACGGGAGGCAGCAGUGGGGAAUUUUGGACGAUGGGCGCAAGCCUGAUCCAGCAAUGCCGCGUGCAGGAUGAAGGCCUUCGGGUUGUAAACUGCCUUUGUACGGAACGAAAAGCCCUGGGUUAAUACCCUGGGGUCAUGACGGUACCGUAAGAAUAAGCACCGGCUAACUACGUGCCAGCCGCCGCGGUAA